rnacentral:rRNA from 1 species
UACGGAGGGGGCAAGCGUUACUCGGAAUUAUUGGGCGUAAAGGGCGCGUAGGCGGUCGUGCACGUCGGAGGUGAAAUCCCCGGGCUUAACCCGGGAGCUGCCUCCGAUACGGCAUGGCUUGAGUCCGGGAGAGGGGAGCAGAAUUCCCAGUGUAGCGGUGAAAUGCGUAGAUAUUGGGAGGAAUACCAGUGGCGAAGGCGGCUCCCUGGACCGGUACUGACGCUGAGGCGCGAAAGCGUGGGUAGCAAACAGG